AGUGAACGCUGGCGGUAGGCCUAACACAUGCAAGUCGAACGGCAGCACAGUAAGAGCUUGCUCUUACGGGUGGCGAGUGGCGGACGGGUGAGGAACACAUCGGAAUCUACUUUUUCGUGGGGGAUAACGUAGGGAAACUUACGCUAAUACCGCAUACGACCUACGGGUGAAAGCAGGGGAUCUUCGGACCUUGCGCGAUUGAAUGAGCCGAUGUCGGAUUAGCUAGUUGGCGGGGUAAAGGCCCACCAAGGCGACGAUCCGUAGCUGGUCUGAGAGGAUGAUCAGCCACACUGGAACUGAGACACGGUCCAGACUCCUACGGGAGGCAGCAGUGGGGAAUAUUGGACAAUGGGCACAAGCCUGAUCCAGCCAUACCGCGUGGGUGAAGAAGGCCUUCGGGUUGUAAAGCCCUUUUGUUGGGAAAGAAAAGCAGCAGGUUAAUACCCCGCUGUUCUGACGGUACCCAAAGAAUAAGCACCGGCUAACUUCGUG
rnacentral:rRNA from 1 species